AAAAUCGCUUAGUCUUUUAUGAUGCUCACUCCAUUGAAGAAAUAGCGACUCCAAUCUUUUUUCUUCUGUCUUAGCAGCCACACCUGCCCUAAAAGUCAAGU